GAUGAACGCUGGCGGCGUGCCUAAUACAUGCAAGUCGAGCGAACAGACGAGGAGCUUGCUCCUCUGACGUUAGCGGCGGACGGGUGAGUAACACGUGGAUAACCUACCUAUAAGACUGGGAUAACUUCGGGAAACCGGAGCUAAUACCGGAUAAUAUAUUGAACCGCAUGGUUCAAUAGUGAAAGACGGUUUUGCUGUCACUUAUAGAUGGACCCGCGCCGCAUUAGCUAGUUGGUAAGGUAACGGCUUACCAAGGCAACGAUGCGUAGCCGACCUGAGAGGGUGAUCGGCCACACUGGAACUGAGACACGGUCCAGACUCCUACGGGAGGCAGCAGUAGGGAAUCUGCCGCAAUGGGCGAAAGCCUGACGGAGCAACGCCGCGUGAGUGAUGAAGGUCUUCGGAUCGUAAAACUCUGUUAUUAGGGAAGAACAAAUGUGUAAGUAACUAUGCACGUCUGGACGGUACCUAAUCAGAAAACCACGGCUAACUACGU
rnacentral:rRNA from 1 species